AGCUUCUGGCCCGCUAGCCCUCUUGCGAGUCCGAGCACGCCCUGGGGAAGCCCCGCCCCCGGCCGCCUCCGCAGCCCUAUUGGCUUACUCUCCUGCCACUCAGCAGAGCGCCCGCCCCUGGGGUCGCGGGGAGGCGGGAUCCCGAGUCUCCUCCCCGCGUUGGCGCCUCCCAGCUCGCCUUUCCAGGCGCUUCCCUGGCGGUAGUGUCUCCGACCCUGUAAACGUUUCAAGGCCUGCUGCCGACUGGCGUAGCCGCUUUCUCUUUGGAUUCUCACCCUGUGAGAUGAACACGGCAGGGAGAAUUCAGCUUUACAGGUGGGAGAAGUAAAGGUCACAGAGGUUGAGUGACUCUCCAUAGAAGCACGUGCUGGGAUUUUAGCAAUGGUUCCAGACAGCCCCGUGUUUUCUCCUUCCUAACGUUGGCCCAGUCGUUAACCGUUCAAAACUUAUUUCGUCAUCUGCGAAACGGGGACAAUGAUAGCCACCUUGUGAAACUGGUGUGAAGAACACAGAAAAGAACAGGAGAAGAAUCUAGUGCGAGGACUGGCCUGUGGUAGGUUGUUCAUGAAUAGUAUGUGUGUAAGCCUCAAAUAUUCCCAGAUCUUCUGACUUCCAGUCUGGGACUUUUUGUGCUAAACCAGUUUCAGAGGUCCGGAGAACUCGGAGGGUUCGGGGGUAUAGUCAAGGGAUUCGGUGAGUUGCCACAUAGGAGAGACCCCGCAGCAAAACACACUACUCUGAGGCAAAUACUAAACAUUGUUUUUACUACUAUUAUUAAUUAGAUUAUACUUUAUUUUUUGUCAACUUUUGUCAGGCACCGUUCUCAACUUUGUUUGUUGACUCUUCACAAUGCCCUGUGAGUUGCCUCCUAUUAAAACGCUCACUUUAGAGAGGGGACACUGAGGCUCAGAGAGAGGUUAAAUAACACAUUCAUGCUUAAAAAGCUGAAAGUCGUCAGAGCUGAGAUUUAUACCCAACCAAUCUAGCUCAUAAAGCCACGCAUACUGAUAUUUGUGUUUCACGCUGUGACAAAAUGGGGUUGUGAUAAGAUCUGUCUUUGAUAAUACAUACUUUUGUCACCAUCUACAAGAUGCCGCUGACUUUUUUAAAACUCCUAAAGGGCAGGAGGAAGAAAAAACGAAACAGAGAGGCACCUAACUAAGUCCUUGACUGUGGACGGACUAUAUAUGGGCUGAUUAUGAGAAACUCACAUGCAGGCGCUAUGUUUGGAAUUCCAUUUUAGCUGAAUGUUCCAGACUGUCACAUCCCUCAGUGUCUCCAUGGAAGUGCCCACUAUGGGAGAAUGGCCGAAUGACAUGAUUGGAAUGGAAUGCAACAGUCAUCUUAUCUGACCACACAGAUACCUGCCAGGGGAGGAAUGCCUCACAUCCUCAUGAUAAUUUUGAAGACUUUCUGAGAAGGGCCUGGUGAGACCAACACAGCUCCUGGACAGGGUCCACCACCUCCAUCACUGUGCCUUGUCCCUGUCUUCCUUGCACUAGUGUGUGUGUGUAAUCACAGGUCACCUACUGACUAUGUGCAUGGAAAGCUCACUUAUCUUUGCAUCUGUGGGACCCAGAACAAAAGCCAUGAAGUAUUUUGAAACUGGUUUCUCCAAACCCUGCCCGGGAAUAGUGAAUCUUGACUGACCCUGAUUUAUUGGAGCAGAAGAGGAAAAGAAACAGCAGGCCCUAAAUGUCAAGGUGAGGAGUGUAGCCUGGCAGAACGAGAGCCAAGAGUGUUCUGUGGGGUGGAGCACGUGACUAGGAUCCUCAGGCCCAGAGGGACCAGGAGCCAGUUCAAGUGGGAGGUGUCGGGAAUGCAAAGUCGGCUGUAGACUCAGCACAUUAAAAAUGUCAAGAACAAGGCAGAGAAUAAUGCGAGGGGAAGAGCGCCUUCUGUUUUGUGGGAGGCAGGUUACGAAAUGUUAGAAGCGCACGUUUGCUUUCACGUGUCUGCUUGAUUGCAAGUCCAAUGUGCUGUCUGCUGAGACCCAGGAGAACUGAUGGGGAAGUGGCAUCCAGGAACCUGCUCCCAUUCCAGGGAGUUCUGGCUCUGCCUUCCUGUGCUCCAGAGAUUCUCCUGCUGCUGCGUAAAGAGGAAUUUACAGAGCAAGUUGAUCCAGACAUGCUCAACGAAAAGUGAGCAUUUAUGGUGCUACUCACCAGGCCUGAAAGCUAGUAAGGAGUAGCUGGCCCUGCACCUGCCCAGAAGUCCAUGUGGCCAGCAAAACAAGAUAGAAUAGGGAAACUCCAGGCUUACUUCAACUUGGCAUCAUUAUUAAAGGCAUUGAGGGGUGGGGAGCCUGGGUGGCUCAGUUAGUUGAGUGUCUGACUCCUGGUUUCUGCUAAGGCCAUGAUCCUGCAAUUGGUGGAAUCCAGCCCCACACUGAGCUCUGCACUGACAGUGCAGAGCCUGCUUGGGAUCUUGCACUCUCUCUCUGCCUCUUUCUCUCUCUCUCUCUCUCUCUCUCUCUCUCUCUCUCUCUCUCUCUCUCAAAAUAAAUGGAUAAACUUAAAAAAAAAUAAGGACAGUGAGGUCAGUUCUCUAUAUUUCUUACCCCUGCAAUCCUGAUGCAGGGGCCCUCCUGGAUAUGUAGGAGAAGAGAUUCUUCCAGCCUGAAAAACUCUAUAAUUUAUGACUACCAUAGCACAGUCUUCAUGUCCAGUGGCUGAAAAGGAGCAACACCCAACCAGGAAAUGCACCCUUGCCACUCUCAGCAGGAACCUGGCUGUGUUGACAGCCCCCACAUUUGAGGUGCCCCUGGGAGGAAGGAGCUGGGCCACUGUCUUAGGGCCAACCAACAGAACUUAGUUUCCCCAUUGGCAAAACCGGAGUAACAACACCUGCCCCAUUCACCUCCAAGAGUUGUAGGCAGACUCAAAGAAGCCCACUCAUGUAUCUGGAAGCACCUUGAACUGGAAGGGAUGCUCAUUGCUCAGCCUUGGCCUGUUACAGUGGUUUUGGGCCCUGAGGCAGCGGUCUAACUAACUGAUCUCUCAAAGGGAUCUUUCCCUCAUCCCUGAGUGCGGUAUUCUGCUCUGGGAGGGCUGGAUGUCCUUUGGUCUAGAGCACACUAGGCCAUUGUUUGCCAUAGGUCCAGGCAGACCAAGUCCAAGGCCAGGACAUAUUCAGGGGACUUCUCAGAACAUCCUCUGGGGAUGGGAUGAGCAGGUCUGCUUGCUGCCUGGGUGGUGCCCAGCCCCUCCUAUCUCUUCUUUUACCUCUGUGUCAAACAGCAAAUUCCUGAAUCACUAUACAAAGUGGUGGUUGGAGCGAUGUAACUUCCCCCAAACAUGGCUCGGGACCAGUGACAACACCAGCCACCGUGCUUAGCAUGUGUUAUUAAAGCCCCUGUGAUGUCAACAGAGAAGCACAUGUCAGUUGGGCCCAAUCUGUCCAGCUAAGUCGGGGAAUGCUUGCCAGUCCCUCAGGAUGGGCUGCCCUAAGGGUGAACUCGAUGCCCGAGGGGUGGAAAAACUAACCAUGCUGGAAGAGGACUGAAGGUUUAUCACACAAGCAAACAGUGGGGACAGUGCUCGGGUCUGUAACAAUGGUAACAGUACUAAUUGUAGUAUUCAGUGUGGGCUCAGCCAAGGUCCUUGGGGAGUAAUAGUGUGGGGAGGUGCGCCGAGCCCUACACCCAGGCUUCGAAAGAAAAGCUCUUAUCGUUACCCAGUUAAAAACAAUGUAAGCAAAGCAACUCUGUGAUGGAAACAUGUUGACGGUGAGGGAGAGACUUGAGGGAGACGCUGAGCAGUUCCCAGAAUACAUUCCCACGUAAAUUCGAAGAAUGCUAGUGGAGAGAAGCCACUGCUCGCUCUCCUUUAAGCCAAAUAAUAUCUUCCUGCCGGAACAGAGUUGUUCUUGGCAAUUGGAAGUAAAUGUGAGGAGGGAAUCAAAACAUGAUGCCUGAGAAAGGAAUCCAUAAGAAAUCUGAAGUCAGGGACAUGGUGAGAUAUAACAAAGAAAGAUGAGUUGGUGGCAGGAACAAAGGUUAACUGUAGUGGUGGCGCAUUGGCUCCUAGGAUAGUGUUGGUGACGGCAUGCACUUGGUAGUAAGGCUGGGGCAGGAAGGCUGCAGUGCAUCCUUGCACCUCCAUUCUGAGGGCUCAGCAGAGGGUCCCUGUCCAGCCAUGGUGACCUCAGGUCGGGUGUCCAGAAGCUGAGGCCCUAGCCCCUGCUGCCUCCUUGCACCAUUUCUGAACGACCCUCCAGGACCUAAUCAGUGAGGCCUCACCUUGCGAUGCAGAAGGUCAACACAGAAGGUAGUGAAGCCUGGCAGAGAGUACUUCCUUCCCUCCACCUUCAGUUACUGGAACUGCCUCUGGUGGACUUUGGCAAGUUUGACAAAUGGCAGGAGAAUCUGGAAGAAUUUCUUGGCUGGCAAAGGGGAAUGGAUGGUUGGGCACAGACCUGCUGCUGUAGUUCUUUGUACUAAAACUGUAGAUGGCGGGCAGAAAGGGCAGCUUCCUUUCACUUCUUGUCACAGCUCAUCCCCUCCUGCCUAUGUGCAAACUCCUCAGGUAUUAGCAUUUGGGUAAAGAUGAAGUUCUCUGCGGUGGCAAGAACAAAUUCAUCCCAAACACUAUACAUUCCUGCUUAGAGGCAUCACGGUGUUCGGGUGAAUCACCAGGCAGAGACGACUACACUUGCCCAACUCCAACAUCCUUGACUCACAGAGCCACUCAUGUAGACUAAUACCCACUGUUUAUGUGGGCACCUUUCUCCAAGUGGCUGGAAGUGGUUUACAAGCUGCUGGCUCAUCCUCAGCAUGUCCCCUGCAGGGAGAGCAAAAGGUGGGGAAGGAUGAAGGGUAGACAUAAUCGUCUGCAUUUUAUGUGGGGAAACUGAGGCUCCAUCAAGCCCUCGAGUGAAAUGUGCAGACAUGUGUGAGUCAGACACUGCCCGUGGAAGAGCAAAAAUGAGUGAUUCUGAAUCCUACGUGGACUGUAUUCUCAUACAGCCUUAAAACAGGUGAGCCAAAAUGCAGAUUCACUGUAUUUUAUGUUUAUAACCCAUUUCCCAGUCCUCAUACCAUCUGUGACUUCUGCUCCAUCUCAGUGUGACGCUUUUAUUAACUUUAGAGGCCUCUUGACCAUCCUCUCCUCCUGACCUACCCCCAGCUCUGACAGGUACCCCAUUCCUGACAUUUACUUCAUUCUUGGUCAUCACCUGAUCCUCAGUAUUUCUCCCAUUGUGAAUCUCUACCAUCCUUUCCCCUUAACUGUUCCUAAUCCAUAUACCUUAAUUCCCCCAGGUGGGAAUGGCAAUAAGGUAAAGAUUUGGGCUGGAGGGAAGUUCACAGAUGGAGUAUAAAGUGUCCAUGUUACUCACCAUUUGUUUCUGAAAAUCAGAACAUUUAUUGGCUGAAAAUUUAGGCCAAAUCUAAAUAUCUUCAUGUCAAAAUAGCUGUAAUAAAGCAGCUCUAUUAAAAUAGCUGCAUUCAGGGGCACCUGGGUGGCUUAGUUGGCUAAGCGUCCAACUCUUGGUUUCAGCUCAGGUCAUGAUCUC